AACGCACAUUGCGCCCGCCAGUAUUCUGGCGGGCAUGCCUGUUCGAGCGUCAUUUCAACCCUCAAGCCCCCGGGCUUGGUGUUGGAGAUCGGCACAAGCGACCUCCGGGCCGCCGCCGUCUCCGAAAUCUAGUGGCGGUCUCGCUGUAGCCUCCUCUGCGUAGUAACUCACCUCGCACUGGAACGCGGCGCGGCCAAGCCGUAAAACCCCCCACUUCUGAAGUUUGACCUCGGAUCAGGUAGGACUACCCGCUGAACUUAA
rnacentral:misc_RNA from 1 species